rnacentral:rRNA from 1 species
GAUGAACGCUGGCGGCGUGCCUAAUACAUGCAAGUCGAGCGAACAGAUGAGGAGCUUGCUCCUCUGACGUUAGCGGCGGACGGGUGAGUAACACGUGGAUAACCUACCUAUAAGACUGGGAUAACUUCGGGAAACCGGAGCUAAUACCGGAUAAUAUAUUGAACCGCAUGGUUCAAUAGUGAAAGACGGUUUUGCUGUCACUUAUAGAUGGAUCCGCGCCGCAUUAGCUGGUUGGUAAGGUAACGGCUUACCAAGGCAACGAUGCGUAGCCGACCUGAGAGGCUGAUCGGCCACACUGGAACUGAGACACGGUCCAGACUCCUACGGGAGGCAGCAGUAGGGAAUCUUCCGCAAAGGGCGAAAGCCUGACGGAGCAACGCCGCGUGAGUGAUGAAGGUCUUCGGAUCGUAAAACUCUGUUAUUAGGGAAGAACAAAUGUGUAAGUAACUAUGCACGUCUUGACGGUACCUAAUCAGAAAGCCACGGCUAACUACGUG